UUAAAAUGCAUAUGAGUGUAGUAGUGCUUCAGUGAUGAUCUUUUUAUCUUCUGUGUGUUUUGCAACUUAUUAAUCUUAGUCUCCCUCUGUUCCCUCUGUUUACAGACAUUGCAUUGUGAGGACUGGUGCCCUGGGAACACUGAGCACAUUCUCGAAAAUUCCAAAUUUGUGCCACUUCCAUACGAAGACAGCCCAGAAUAAUUGGGCUCCAUCAACCAUCCCGGGUAAAGUCGGUCUGUCCUGAUUGCACUACUUGCUAAUUGAUGACGUCUAGAAGCCAUAGCUGCUUCCUUCAACGUGGCAGCCCUCACAAAUAAACUGAUACCAGGAAUUAACAUACAGUAGAUGGUGAUGGUGGUGGUGGCAAGGGUGCCUUCACAAGGUGCCAUGUCACAAUCUCAGUGUGGAGCCAAAGGCUGCUAUUGCAAGUCAGAUGGGGGACGAUCGAUGUAAGGCAUCAGAAAGGUGGUGUACGUACAAAGGCUGGAGCUGCUGGAGACAGUGUUGCACUUAGAUACUUGAUUUACUGCCGAAGGUACCAUCAGGGCACCACCCUACCCCUGCAGGACCAGAAGAGGAUGGACAGGGGGCCAACAUUUUUUAACACUCUGACCAUGGACUAUUUAAACCAUUGAGGUAACGCAGACGUCUGAUCCCACUUGGCUAAAACAGAAGACUGAGGAGGAUUUUCUUUCCUCAUGCCAUUCGCAUCCUGAGCACACAUACUACAUUACAUGGACUUGCCAUACUGCACUUACACACUGCACUAUUUACCCCCUGACUCAUUCCGUGUCAAAUCAGACAAGGUUAUGCUGCACCGUCUCAGGCCUGUAAAAUAUUUUUUUGUUCAAUCCUAUGUCUUCAUAUUAUAAUGUUUGUAUGGCCUGCUCAAUGAUUUUCAUUGAAAAGUGUUCAUUAAAAGUUCAAAUGGUA